rnacentral:rRNA from 1 species
GUAGGUGGCAAGCGUUGUCCGGAAUUAUUGGGCGUAUAGCGCGCGCAGGUGGGAUCUUGAGUCUGUUCUGAAAGUUCGGAGCUUAACUCCGUGAUGGGAUGGAAACUGGGAUUCUUGAGUACCGGAGAGGAAAGCGGAAUUCCCCGUGUAGCGGUGAAAUGCGUAGAUAUGGGGAGGAACACCAGUGGCGAAGGCGGCUUUCUGGACGGUGUCUGACACUGAGGCGCGAAAGCUAGGGGAGCGAACGGGAUUAGAUACCCCGGUAGUCCUAGCCGUAAACGAUGGGUACUAGGUGGUGGGGGGUGUCAACUCCUUCCGUGCCGGCGCUAACGCAAUAAGUACCCCGCCUGGGGAGUACGGCCGCAAGGUUG